rnacentral:lncRNA from 1 species
GAAGCACCUGACCGCCCUUGUCGAUCGCCGGAGGGCCGCCACGGGGACAUCGAGCUCGAAGCUUCGGCCGCCGUUGUGCAGCCCCUCCCUGUGCCUAUUUAAGGCGUGACACAAGCUCUCCCUCACCCGAGCCACCUCCCAGGCCUCUCCCCUGAGCUCCCGAAGCUUCCCUGCCCUCCAAUCGCCGCCUUGGCCGCCGCCCUAUCCAGCCUAAAUUGGCACGGUACCGAGCCCCUCCCUCCUCUCUAUCUGUCUUGGUGGGGUUACCCAGCCACGACGAAGCCCUUCCCCAUAUUACCUGGCCCUCCUCGUCACCGGAGCAUGGAGACCGUCAUUGCCCGAGCCGUCGUCCGUCGUGGGUCACGCCGUCGCCUCUCUACAACCCUUCGGCGCUCAUACUAUGAGGGAACGGGUGCGGCACGAUCCCACGAGCCUGCCGAUAGUCGGAGCAUGACAAAUGGUGGCCGGAGCCACAGGGAAGCGCUGCCGGCGUCGAGCUUCCCCCUGCCGUCGCGGGGAGAAGGCAGGAGGAGGAAGAAGAAGAUAGGGGGAGAAGAGAGAAGACCCGACAGGUGGGGUCAGGGCCCCGUGUUGGCGACCUGAGGCCGGCCCCGCUGUGCCACGCUGGAUAAGUGGAGGCGCCCGGCUUUGAAAGGCGCUUCCCCCUCUGGGAAGUGUAUUACAGCAAAGGCGUUUUCUCCUUUUUCAAUCAGGGGCCUGUUUGUAGAUAUUAUUUGUACAGAUUGGUCCCUGAUCUUGAUUCAUCCAUAUCUCCGCAACCGUGAAUCUGAUUCCAGUGAUUCCAAAGCCCUCGUCUUCGUAUCGUCGAUCCCUACAAGAUGGUAUAAUUUCCACCCUGUGAUAACACAAUUGAAAAUGACCAUGUUGCCCUUGCCGUAAUCAGUCCCCUCCGAGAGAGAACUGUUUCCGGCGAUUCCUUCCGCGAGUUUCUCGCACUUCUUUCCGGUGGUUUCCCCCAUCCCAGGCAAGCCACAACUUUCAUUACUUAAUUGCACUUCAAUACCAUAGCUUAACUAUUUAUUUCAAUUACAAUUAUAUCUGGUUAUCGUUUGUGAUGUGAGUAUGCACUGUUGAGUAGAUGAUGACCGUGAUGAGUACAUGAUUGUUAGUGACUGAUGUCUUACACGCUAGUCGAUGCCACGAUGUUGAGAUUACUGUCUAUGAUUAUUUUACUCGACAAUUUAUGGCUAUGGAUCAAUAGUAUUGGUUGAGCUUAUCAGUCAUCGGAUUGCUGUGACACCGGAAUGUCAGCUAUAACAGAUAUGUUAUUUGGGUUGAGAUAACCUAGCUGGUUGAUCAGAGUCACCUGUCCGGGCUUUAUCGUACAACCACAUUAGCCGGUAUGGGACGACCUUGACUUGAGCUGAUCGCGUGAUCGCUCUCACCGGUACCUCCAAAGAGGGAGGGUUAUGCACGCGUGCUACCUUGGCCCGGUAGGCGGUGAUAACCCCGUGAGCCCAGUUGAGUUGUUUGGGUACUCGUCCCCGGUUGGGACAGUUUAGUUUGGCCACGACGGUGGCAGGUGUCAUGAGGACACAGGGCCACCCAGGGCAGGACUCCACAGAGGGAGUGGUUGCCGGAGGUACGAUGAGAGGUUCACGGUUCAGGAAAGUCUAGUGGAGUAACGCUGGUCCACCAGAAUGGGAUCACGAGGUCAGUACUCCAGAGUGUGGGUAAAGUGUGCAACCUCUGCAGAGUGUCAAAUCUAUUCGAAUAGCCGAGUCCAUGGUAAUGGACAGCCGGAACAGACCUCAGUAAGUGGUCAACCGUAACUACGAUAGUAAUGAUGGAAGAACUCGUCUGAGUAUGGUAACAACUGGGCAUCGUGCCGAUGAUGAGUCUUGGUAUUUGUCGUGAGGAUACUCGCUACAGAUUCUUGGUAAGAUCAUAAGUGUUGGUAUCACCAGAGUACUGUGAUAGUAGUCUGGUAUAGUUAUUUUCAGCUACCUCUUGGUGAUAAUAAAUCUUUGCUUAAUCUUGACUGCUAUGAUGUUGUAUUGCUUUUAUGCUAAUGUUUGUUGUGAGCUUGCGAGUACAUUCAAAGUACUCACCUGGCUCAUCAUGCCAGUUUGCAGGUCAUGCCUUGAUUGCUUGAUUGUCGAAGAUUCCGAGUUGCGAGCUAGGAUGCGCGUUCCAGCUAGAGUCCCUGCGGAAUGCAGUUCAUCACAUGUG